GAGGCCAUUUCCAAGCACAAAAGUCUAAGUGUAUGUAAGCAUUGAUUCAAUGUGUAGCUGUGUGAGUAGUAAACUUACUGGUCCUUAGAAUUUCACUUACUGACAGGCCAUCUGCUCCCCACACACCAUAGUGAAUGUUCAACAAAAUACUGUGUUUUAUUGUGUCUUUUGGAGUCCCUUAAUUUGUGCUAUUUUUGCAUGGAAUAAAUGGUUAUACUGUUGCUGACAUUUUGGUAAAAUGUGACACUACUUUCCAAGACAGCUACCCAUAUUUCAGUCAUUGUAUGUGUUAUUUGUGCCUCUGUAAAAUUGUAGACCAUGAGCAAUUUAGAAGUGUGCUUAUGUCCAUUCCCCUUGAUUCCACUGUUUAGCUUAUAAAAUCAGAGAAAUUAACAAGAUAUAUAAAUGAUAAAACCUUUCACUUUUCUUUACACUUUCUUUUAUGUUUAGGGAUUUUUAUAUGCAUGUAUGUCUGUGCACCACAUGUAUGCCUAAUGUCUGCAGAGCACAGCAGUGUAGAUCUGAAGUUACAGACAGAUGUGAGCUGCCAUGUGGGGGCUUAGACUCAAACUUAGAUCCUUUGGAACAGCAUUCCGUGCUCUUAACCAUUGAGCCAUCUCUCCAGCUCCAAUGUUCUCCAUAGUUUUACAAGGUUCAUAUGAUUUGUGUUUUUAUAGUUAGAAAAUAAUGCUCUCAUCCCUUUAAUCUAACUCCUGAUGUGACCACCUAAUAAGCCUAAGAUCGUGUUUUAUCUUCAUUUUGAGGGUGUUUGGGAUUAAAAACUGAUUGGUUCCUAUGGUGGUUUCAUUUUUUUGGAUUUCCUUCACUUUAUUUUCCUUUAAAACUUUACUUGGUUUUUGUGUAUCAUCAAUAUUCAACAAUAAAACCAAUUUUCUUCACUGGUA
rnacentral:lncRNA from 1 species